UGGGGAAUAUUGCACAAUGGGGGAAACCCUGAUGCAGCGACGCCGCGUGAGCGAUGAAGGCUUUCGAGUCGUAAAGCUCUGUCCUAUGGGAAGAUAAUGACGGUACCAUAGAAGAAAGCCCCGGCUAAUUACGUGCCAGCAGCCGCGGUAAUACGUAAGGGGCGAGCGUUGUCCGGAAUUAUUGGGCGUAAAGAGUGCGUAGGCGGCAAAUUAAGUCAGAUGUGAAAACUAAGGGCUCAACCCAUAGAUUGCAUCUGAAACUGAUAUGCUUGAGUCAAGGAGAGGAAAGUGGAAUUCCUAGUGUAGCGAUGAAAUGCGUAGAGAUUAGGAGGAACACCGGUGGCGAAAGCGGCUUUUUGGCCUGCAACUGACACUGAGGCGCGAAAGCGUGGGGAGCAAACAGG
rnacentral:rRNA from 1 species